AGGCAAUAGAUACCCGGUAGUCCCAGCAGUAAACGGUGCGCGUUUGGUGUGAGCAGAUUCGACUCUGUUCGCGCCGGAGCUAACGCGUUAAACGCGCCGCCUGGGAAGUACGAUCGCAAGAUUAAAACUCAAAGAAAUUGACGGGGGCCGGCACAAGCGGUGGAGUAUGUGGCUUAAUUCGAUGCAACGCGAAGAACCUUACCUGGGUUUGACAUGCAUCUCUAAGGAGGUGAAAGCUUCCGAGGGUAGCAAUACCCGAUUUGCACAGGUGCUGCAUGGCUGUCGUCAGCUCGUGUCGUGAGAUGUUGGGUUUAAGUCCCGCAACGAGCGCAACCCUUGUAUGCUGUUGCUAUGCUUACGCAUAGCUCUCUGCGUAGACUGCCCCGUGAAACGGGGUAGGAAGGUGGGAUGACGUCAAGUCAGCAUGGCCCUUACACCCAGGGGCUGCACACGUACUACAAUGCUCAGUACAAUUAGAA
rnacentral:rRNA from 1 species